ACUUGUGCCACGUGGUGAUGGUGGGGAAUGACGAUGAGUGGAAAGGGUGGGGGACAGAGGAAAGAUGAUCAUUGCGAUCGGUCGGAAGAGUUGUGAAGAGAAACGGAGGGGAAGGUUGUUCAGAGUAAAAAGAGAGAAAAGAAAAAUACAGAGUGGAAUGAUGAAGGAAAGGAUCCUCCUUUCGUGGAAAACGUUUGUGUCAUGUUGGCCGAUUGACGUCAUCAGCUUAAGCAUUUAUAUAUACAUACAAACAUAUACAUGAAAGAUGUCAAAACGAAAAUUCAUCAAGGGUAGAUACGUGUAAAUACAUACAUCGUAGAAUCAAAGAAUCUUCCAAGAAGACGGGUUAACUACCAUUGUUCAUAAUUCGAAGAACGAGAAGAAAACUUAACGAGUUUUUACGAUUUUUUUACGAAUUCUAAGAUCAUUUAUUAAUUAACGAUCUUCCACUAAUGUUUUACCUUCAACGGUGGGUCUCAAUUACUAACAAUGAUUAUGGUCUUAGUCAAGACU